rnacentral:rRNA from 1 species
UACGUAGGGCGCAAGCGUUGUCCGGAAUUAUUGGGCGUAAAGAGCUCGUAGGCGGUUUGUCGCGUCUGCUGUGAAAACCUAAGGCUCAACCUUGGGCUUGCAGUGGGUACGGGCAGACUAGAGUGUGGUAGGGGAGACUGGAAUUCCUGGUGUAGCGGUGAAAUGCGCAGAUAUCAGGAGGAACACCGAUGGCGAAGGCAGGUCUCUGG